UGUGCAGUGAUGUACAGGCUGAAAGAAGCAGAUAGCAAAACCUUGAACUGACGAACAGAAAUCGUCUAUAGGCAGGCGCAGAGGAUGAGAAUGCAAAAUAAUUCGAAGUCCGAAAACUAGCCGGAAUCUGCGAAUGUAAAGACGGCAGUUACAUGAGGUGAAAGAGUGCACU
rfam:Burkholderiales bacterium YL45, complete genome.